GGCCCCUUUCAGACAAACGAGUUCCAUGCAUCUGACUCGCAGUGUGAGUAUGCGGCAGCUCCCGUCCUGACGGGGUCUCAUAGCAUUAUAUUGAUUUAUGAUGCUAUGUAACCCUAAGGCUACAUGCAAAACAGCUUUCCUGCCGCAGCAA